rnacentral:ribozyme from 1 species
AAAGAAAGAAAGAAAGAAAGAAAGAAAGAGAUCAAAAACAGAUUGCCGUGAUUUCGGAGUUUUGUGUGACAAGUGUGUUCUUCAAAUCAAGUUCAAGUUUUUU